GAGGGUAUAGCUCAGUGGUAGAGCACAUAUUUACCAUGUAUGAGGCCCUGGAUUCAAUCCCCGACAUCAUCA
rnacentral:tRNA from 1 species